rnacentral:rRNA from 1 species
AGAGUUUGAUCAUGGCCUCAGAAUAAAACGCUGGUGGCAUGCUUUAUACAUGCAAGUCGAGUGAAGACUAGAUUCGUAGUAGAGACGAUUGAUUUUCACUUGUGGAGAUUAUGAGUUUUUGCUAUUCCUGGUCUUAGCGGCGAACGGGUGAGUAACGCGUGAAUAAUCUGCCCUUGAAAUCGGGAUACCAUUCCGAAAGGAGUGCUAAUACCGAAUAAUGUUAUGGAACAUGUGUUUCAUAACCAAAGUUGAAUCUUUGGAUUCUUCGUUCAAGGAUGAGUUCGCGUCCUAUUAGCUAGUUGGUGAGGUAAAGGCUUACCAAGGCUAUGAUGGGUAGCCGGCCUGAGAGGGCGUACGGCCACAUUGGGACUGAGACACGGCCCAGACUCCUACGGGAGGCAGCAGUAGGGAAUCUUCCGCAAUGGGCGAAAGCCUGACGGAGCGAUGCCACGUGGAUGACGGAGGCCUUCGGGUCGUAAAAUCCUGUCAGGAGGGACGAUGGUCAAUCUUCGGAUUGAUUGACGGUACCUCCAGAGGAAGCUCCGGCCAACUACGUGCCAGCAGCCGCGGUAAU